GUUAGUGAAGUGACAUUAAGUAUGGGGAAUUGAGUGAAGCAAAAGGCUAAUAACCUCUAUUUGCUAGCCUCCAAUCACAACCUAGCAUGUCUCAACAAUGCCCAUGCCCCAUGCUAUGAGGCGAAGAAAUUGAAGGGCCCAACUCCACUUUUAUGGUGCGAUGCAAUGCAAAAUUGUGUUCUCCCCCCAAAGCAGAACUUUACCCAGAAAAACCGACUCCAAAGCCGCUCACAAUCACUCGAUAAUUGCUUUCCUGUUGUUUCCUGAGCCCAGACGUGCAGAUGACGGCGUGAAUUGUGCCACCCUAUUGUGCACACGGCAUGGUGCGAUCCAUGCUGUCGUCACCUCUGAUUAUCUCGUAAGAAUGAUGGUUACUGCAUUAAGUGAGGAUCAUUUGAAAGUUGCACUGCCAAAAACAGCUAAAUAAAGAGCUUGUGUAGGUGGAGGAGGA